ensembl:rRNA predicted gene, 24188
AUCUACUGCUAUUGCACCCUGAGUGUGCUGGAUCUCAUUCAAUCUCAGAAGCUAAGCAGAGUCAUCUCUGGUUAGUAUUUAGACGGGACACAUGCUGGGCUGAGGGGU